rnacentral:rRNA from 2 species
AACGGCGAGUGAAGCGGCAAAAGCUCAAAUUUGAAAUCUGGCCCCGUCAGGAGCCCGAGUUGUAAUUUGGAGAGGACACUUCGGGUGUGGCUGCGGCGUAAGUCCCUUGGAACAGGGCGUCAUAGAGGGUGAGAAUCCCGUCUUGCGCCGCCGGACCACGCCCAUGCGAAGUUCCUUCGACGAGUCGAGUUGUUUGGGAAUGCAGCUCUAAGUGGGUGGUAAAUUUCAUCUAAAGCUAAAUAUUGGCCAGAGACCGAUAGCGAACAAGUAGAGUGAUCGAAAGGUUAAAAGCACCUUGAAAAGGGAGUUAAAUAGCACGUGAAAUUGUUGAAAGGGAAGCGCUUGCAACCAGACUCGGUCGUGGGGGCUCAGCGGGCAUGCAUGCCCGUGUACUCCCCCGCGUUCGGGCCAGCAUCGGUUCCGGCGGUUGGUCAAAGACCUCUGGAAUGUGUCGUCCUCCGGGACGUCUUAUAGCCAGGGGUGCAAUGCUGCCAGCCGGGACCGAGGAUCGCGCUUCGGCACGGAUGCUGGCAUAAUGGUUGUAAGCGGCCCGUCUUGAAACACGGACCAAGGAGUCUAACAUCCACGCGAGUGUUCGGGUGUCAAACCCGUGCGCGCAGUGAAAGCGAACGGAGGUAGGAGCCCUCACGGGUGCACUAUCGACCGAUCCUGAAGUCUUCGGAUGGAUUUGAGUAGGAGCGUGGCUGUUGGGACCCGAAAGAUGGUGAACUAUGCCUGAAUAGGGUGAAGCCAGAGGAAACUCUGGUGGAGGCUCGCAGCGGUUCUGACGUGCAAAUCGAUCGUCAAAUUU